rnacentral:rRNA from 1 species
UGGCUUAACCAUAGAACUGCUUGGGAAACUGAUAAUCUAGAGUGAGGGAGAGGCAGAUGGAAUUGGUGGUGUAGGGGUAAAAUCCGUAGAGAUCACCAGGAAUACCCAUUGCGAAGGCGAUCUGCUGGAACUCAACUGACGCUAAUGCGUGAAAGCGUGGGGAGCAAACAGGAUUAGAUACCCUGGUAGUCCACGCCCUAAACGAUGUAUACUAGUUGUUGCUAAGCUAGUCUUGGCAGUAAUGCACCUAACGGAUUAAGUAUACCGCCUGGGGAGUACGGUCGCAAGAUUAAAACUCAAAGGAAUAGACGGGGACCCGCACAAGCGGUGGAGCAUGUGGUUUAAUUCGAAGAUACGCGAAGAACCUUACCCGGACUUGAUAUCUAACAAAUCAUCUAGAGAUAGAAGAGUGUCUGCUUGCAGAAAUGUUAAGACAGGUGCUGCACGGCUGUCGUCAGCUCGUGUCGUGAGAUGUUGGGUUAAGUCCCGCAACGAGCGCAACCCACGUCAUUAGUUGCUAACAGUUC